AUACGGAGGGUGCAAGCGUCACUCGGAAUCACUGGGCGUAAAGCGCGCGCAGGCGGCUAUUUAAGUUGGAUGUGAAAGCCUACGGCUCAACCGUAGAACUGCAUCCAAAACUAUUUAGCUAGAGUGUGGGAGAGGAAGAUGGAAUUAGUUGUGUAGGGGUAAAAUCCGUAGAGAUAACUAGGAAUACCAAAAGCGAAGGCAAUCUUCUGGAACACUACUGACGCUGAGGCGCGAAAGCGUGGGGAGCAAACAGGAUUAGAUACCCUAGUAGUCC
rnacentral:rRNA from 1 species